rnacentral:rRNA from 1 species
AACGAACGCUGGCGGCAUGCCUAACACAUGCAAGUCGAACGAAGCCUUCGGGCUUAGUGGCGCACGGGUGCGUAACGCGUGGGAAUCUGCCCUUCGGUUCGGAACAACAGUUAGAAAUGACUGCUAAUACCGGAUGAUGACGUAAGUCCAAAGAUUUAUCGCCGAAGGAUGAGCCCGCGUAGGAUUAGCUAGUUGGUAAGGUAAAAGCUUACCAAGGCGACGAUCCUUAGCUGGUCUGAGAGGAUGAUCAGCCACACUGGGACUGAGACACGGCCCAGACUCCUACGGGAGGCAGCAGUGGGGAAUAUUGGACAAUGGGCGAAAGCCUGAUCCAGCAAUGCCGCGUGAGUGAUGAAGGCCUUAGGUUGUAAAGCUCUUUUACCAGGGAUGAUAACGACAGUACCUGGAGAAUAAGCUCCGGCUAACUCCGUGCCAGCAGCCGCGGUAAU